GACGAACGCUGGCGGCGUGCUUAACACAUGCAAGUCGAACGGUAAGGCCCUUCGGGGUACACGAGUGGCGAACGGGUGAGUAACACGUGGGUGAUCUGCCCUGCACUUCGGGAUAAGCCUGGGAAACUGGGUCUAAUACCGGACAGGACCACUGCCUGCAUGGGUGGUGGUGGAAAGCUUUUGCGGUGUGGGAUGGGCCCGCGGCCUAUCAGCUUGUUGGUGGGGUGAUGGCCUACCAAGGCGACGACGGGUAGCCGGCCUGAGAGGGUGACCGGCCACACUGGGACUGAGAUGCGGCCCAGACUCCUACGGGAGGCAGCAGUGGGGAAUAUUGCACAAUGGGCGCAAGCCUGAUGCAGCGACGCCGCGUGAGGGAUGACGGCCUUCGGGUUGUAAACCUCUUUCAGCACCGACGAAGCGCAAGUGACGGUAGGUGCAGAAGAAGGACCGGCCAACUACGUGCCAGCAGCCGCGGUAA
rnacentral:rRNA from 1 species